GGCUCAUCAAGACCGGUCGAGGGAUAGGCCCUUUGACGCCGGGGCAACCUCGGGCUUUCGCCCGAAAGGUGCCAACUCCUGCGAGAGCCUUCGGGUUCGCGAGAGAUGAGUG
rnacentral:ncRNA from 2 species